UACAGAGGGUGCAAGCGUUAAUCGGAAUUACUGGGCGUAAAGCGCGCGUAGGUGGUUCGUUAAGUUGGAUGUGAAAUCCCCGGGCUCAACCUGGGAACUGCAUUCAAAACUGACGAGCUAGAGUAUGGUAGAGGGUGGUGGAAUUUCCUGUGUAGCGGUGAAAUGCGUAGAUAUAGGAAGGAACACCAGUGGCGAAGGCGACCACCUGGACUGAUACUGACCCUGAGGUGCGAAAGCGUGGGGAGCAAACAGG
rnacentral:rRNA from 1 species